rnacentral:lncRNA from 1 species
UGUCUCCAUACCUCUAGCCUUUCACUAACACCGACCCUCGUCUCGUCUAUCAAUACUAUAUCAUCAGCAAAAAGCAUACACCAAGGCACAUACCCUGGAAUAUGACGAGUCAGAGCAUCUAUCACUAAGGCAAACAAGAGGGGGCUCAGCGCCGAUCCUUGGUGGAGCCCCAUGACCACCAAUAACCACAGGAAAAUGGUCUGAUUCGCCACCCACCGUCCUAAACCUAGUCUUAGCACCAUCGUACAUGUCCUUGAUUACUCUGAUAUAGGCUUCCGGCACGCUCUUCGCCUCCAAAGCACCUUCAAAGCACCUCCCUUGGGACCUUAUCAUACGCCUUCUCCAAGUCGAUAAGCACCAUAUGCAGGUCCUUCUUCUUAUCCUUGAAUUUCUCUGCCAGCCGCCUGACUAGGUGGAUAGCCUCUGUGGUGGAGCGGCCCGGCAUGAAACCGAACUGGUUCCCAGAUAUAGAUGUCACCUCCCUCACCCGCAUAAGCACCAUAUGCAGGUCCUUCUUCUUAUCCCUGAAUUUCUCCGCCAGCCGCCUGACUAGGUGGAUAGCCUCUAUGGUGGAGCGGCCCGGCAUGAAACCGAACUGGUUCCCAUAUAUAGAUGCCACCUCCCUCACCCGCGCCUCAAUCACCUUCUUCCAAACCUUCAUCGUGUGACUUAUUAAUUUGAUACCCCUAUAGUUGUUGCAGCACUGGAUGUCCCCUUUGUUCUUGUACAAGGGCACCACUGUACUCCACCUCCUCUCAUCCGGCAUCCUUUUGGUCCUGAAGAUCGCAUUGAACAACCUAGAGAGCCACUCCCCUCCUGACUUACCCAUGCACUUCCAGAACUCCCAUAACAUCAUCUCCAGUUGAUCAGAAUUUUAUUCUGUACUGUACGGUUUGCUUCUCUUUUGGAUUUCUAAGAUUCUUCAGCGACCUGAAGGCAGUGAUCUUAAUUUAUCAACUUCUUGGCUGCCAAAAUGUGCCUCACUAAUUGAAAAAGAAGUUAAAAUGAGAUUUUCAGAUUACUCCAAUCUGGGGCAAAUCUUCCAAGUCUCUUUGGGAUUUUAAAUAUACUAGUGGUGGUUAACGUUCAUGUAAUUUUGGUCUGUUUUCCACAUUCCACCUAUUGUAAUUUCAUUUUUUUUUUGGCACUUUAAUUUGUCUGCUGCCUUAAUAGGCAAUUUUCAGGGCACUCUUAUUUGUUUCAAACUCUAAUUAUACUACCUAAUAUCAGAGGAUUGCUUCAAAAGGAUAUAUUGUAACAUUGUCGUCUUAAUCUUGUA